AGAGUUUGAGUCCUGGCUUAGGACGAACGGCUGGCGGCGUGCUUAACACAUGCAAGUCGAGCGAUGAAGCUCUUCGGAAGUGGAUUAGCGGCGGACGGGUGAGUAACACGUGGGUAACCUGCCUCAUAGAGGGGAAUAGCCUUUCGAAAGGAAGAUUAAUACCGCAUAAGAUUGUAAUGUCGCAUGACAUAGCAAUUAAAGGAGUAAUCUGCUAUGAGAUGGACCCGCGUCGCAUUAGCUAGUUGGUGAGGUAACGGCUCACCAAGGCGACGAUGCGUAGCCGACCUGAGAGGGUGAUCGGCCACAUUGGGACUGAGACACGGCCCAGACUCCUACGGGAGGCAGCAGUGGGGAAUAUUGCACAAUGGGGGAAACCCUGAUGCCAGCAACGCCGCGUGAGUGAUGACGGUCUUCGGAUUGUAAAGCUCUGUCUUUAGGGACGAUAAUGACGGUACCUAAGGAGGAAGCCACGGCUAACUACGUGCCAGCCGCCGC
rnacentral:rRNA from 1 species